rnacentral:rRNA from 1 species
AGUGAACGCUGGCGGUAGGCCUAACACAUGCAAGUCGAACGGCAGCACAGUAAGAGCUUGCUUUUACGGGUGGCGACUGGCGGACGGGUGAGGAAUACAUCGCAAUCUUCUUUUUCGUGGGGGACAACGUAGGGAAACUUACGCUAACACCGCAUACGACCUACGGCUGAAAGCAGGGGAGCUUCGCACCUUGCGCGAUACUAUGAGCCGAUGCCGCAUUAGCUAGUUGGCGUGGUAACGGCCCACCAAGGCGAGGAUCCGUAGCUGGUCUGAGAGGAUGAUCCGCCACACUGGAACUGAGACACGGUCCAGCCUCCUACGGGAGGCAGCAGUGGGGAAUCUUGGGCAAAGGGAGCAAGCCUGAUCCAGCCAGCCCGCGUGCGUGAAGAAGGCCUUCGGGUUGUAAAGACAUGUUGUUGGGCAAGAACAGCUGGGGGUUGAAAUGGCGCUGUUCUGACGGUACCCAAAGAGUAAGCACGGGCUAACUUCGUG